GUCCCAUGGGACAGCCCUGGGGACGUCCCACGUGUCUCAUGGUGUCCCAUGGGACAGCUAGGGCCGUCCCAUGGUGUCCCAUGAGACAGCUAGGGCCGUCCCAUGGUGUCCCAUGAGACAGAUAGGGCCGUCCCAUGGUGUCCCAUGGGAC
rnacentral:pre_miRNA from 1 species